UUUAAGUUGAUUGGCUAUUAGAGCCUUAUUUUGUUGUGGUCAGAGCUUUAGCUCUAGUUUAUCAUACCAAACUUGUUACAAAUUUGUCUGACUUCAAAUUAAGUACAACCAAUAAAAUUCAAAUUAUUUCUAACCAACUUACCUUCAAACUAUCCCAAGUUCUGAACACAUCCAAUCCACCUCGUCCAGUCGUCCUUGAAAACGCCAGACACACGAAACUCAAUCCAAGCCUUAGAAUGCCCAAAUUGUUUCAAAAUGCCCAAUACCAACAAUAAAAACUUCUUUGGAUUCUGAUUUUUCUCAUCACCUUCUUGGAUCCAAGUCUUAACUAAACCCCUCCAAAAUCCCUCAUGUUUCGUAGAUUCUGCACCUCUCUCUUUCACGCCAAACAGCUCCCCUUCGCCUUCCCCCUAAAACCCACUUUUUCAACACCCCGAACUCUUCCCAAAGGACUCUUUUUCACUUCCGCCAUCAAAAUGGCUGAUACCCAGAAGUUCCGUUCUUUUCCCUCCCUUGAAAAAGCCUCAAAACCAGAGUUACUUCGUGCUUUGGAGUCUUCUUUAGGAAUAUCUUUCAGCUCUGACUCUAUUUGCCCCUCCCCAAAUCCUUUAAUCAUUGUUAUAAGUGGUCCGAGUGGGGUGGGCAAAGAUGCAGUCAUCAAAAGAUUGAGAGAAGUUAGGGAGAAUCUUCAUUUUGUUGUUACUGCUACAAGCAGAGGAAUGAGACCUGGUGAAGUUAAUGGUAAGGAUUACUUUUUUGUGUCAAAGGAUGAGUUUUUAUCAAUGGUUGAAAAAGAUGAGCUUUUGGAGUAUGCUUUAGUUUAUGGGGAUUAUAAAGGAAUACCCAAGAAGCAAAUAAGGGAUUUUAUGGCAAAAGGGUGUGAUAUUGUGUUGAGAGUGGACAUUCAAGGAGCUGAAACAUUAAGGAAGGCUCUUGGGGAUUCUGGGGUGUUCAUUUUUCUGGUGGCUGAGAGUGAGCUUGCUCUUGUUGAGAGGCUGAUCGACAGGAAGACUGAGAGUGAGGAGGAAUUGCUUGUUAGGAUUGCUACUGCUAGAGAAGAGGUGAAGCGUGUUAAGAGAUUUGAUUAUGUUGUUGUUAAUGCUAAAGGGAAGCUUGAGGAGGCUGUAGAUUUGGUGGGGUCUAUCAUUGAUGCUGAGAAGGCUAAGGUUAGGCAAAGGGAGCCAAUGAUUUGAGGUUUUUCUUGUGAAGGGUUCUCGGUUUGGUAUUUUUGAGUUGAGUGUUACGGCACCGUUUUGAACUUAGCCCUUUCCUCGUCACCUGACAAGAAUGCUGAAUGACACAAUUGAACACAGUCCACAGCCUGAUUUCCCUUUUCCUGAUUGUGCUGUUAGAUGGUUUUCCUAAACAUUACCAGUGGAAACAAGAAAUUGGGUUCGAUAAUUCUAAUUGAAGUGGUAAAGGGAUUUAUAAGUGAACCACAAGACGUUACUUAUAAAAAGAAAAAUUAAAAUUAGUUUUUUUUCUUAUUUUCAAGAUUUAUAUUAAUGUACUGUUACACUAACAAUGAAUUAUGUGAUACCAUUUUUCAAAAAUUUUAAUUAACUGUUAAACUAUCAAUAUAUAAGUUUAUAUAUUAUAAUGUAUCAAAUACAAAUGUUGUGUUAUUUACGGACAGUUAGUGGACCAAACACGAAUUGAUAUGCAAAAUAGAAGAAACACACGAUAAAAUAAAAUCUAGCCAACAACUUCCCUGGAAAUAUGACGGAAAGACAAUAGAGAAAGUACCAUAUUUGAGCCGCAGAGAAGUUAUGAGAAUAGAGAAAGCAAUGCAGAGUAUGUCUCUUCAACAAUGGUGGUUGGAGAACCAGAAAAUAAACUGACACUCUUUGCUCCCGUGCUUUCAAUCAUUGAGAAAGUCAACAGUAGUUCCAUUUCUAAUGCUGGAGAAAUAACAGCAGUGAGUUAGAUGAUAAAUCACAAGUUGGAAGAUGGAAUCAUACAACUCAGACAUGGAUAAACAAUAUCCUUUAAAGCCUUGUUAUAUAGAUUUUUUUCAUGUUUAUAUUUUCACAUUAUGUUCGUGUUAUUUGUCCGUAUUGUGUCGUGUAGCCGUAUUGCUCUAUCUCUAGAGUGCACAUGUGGUUACUAGCUUGUUUUAUAGACUAAGUGAACUUUUAAGUGUUUAUGCUAAAAUUUUCACUUGUUAA